AAUGAACGCUGGCGGCAGGCCUAACACAUGCAAGUCGAGCGAGCGGCGGACGGGUGAGUAAUGUCUGGGAAACUGCCUGAUGGAGGGGGAUAAAUACCGGAAACGGUAGCUAAUACCGCAUACCAUCAGAAGUGCCCAGAUGGGAUUAGCUAGUAGGUGGGGUAACGGCUCCACCAGGCGACGAUCCCUAGCUGGCCUGAGCGGAUGACCAGCCACACUGGAACUGAGACACGGUCCAGACUCCUACGGGAGGCAGCAGGGGGGGAUAUUGCACAAUGGGCGCAAGCCUGAUGCAGCCAGGCCGCGUGUGUGAAGAAGGCCUUCGGGUUGUAAAGCACUUUCAGCGGGGAGGCGUUACCCGCAGAAGAAGCACCGGCUAACUCCGUGCCAGCAGCCGCGGUAAUUC
rnacentral:rRNA from 1 species